GAUGAACGCUGGCGGCGUGCCUAAUACAUGCAAGUCGAGCGAACGGACGAGAAGCUUGCUUUUCUGAUGUUAGCGGCGGACGGGUGAGUAACACGUGGAUAACCUACCUAUAAGACUGGGAUAACUUCGGGAAACCGGAGCUAAUACCGGAUAAUAUUUUGAACCGCAUGGUUCAAAAGUGAAAGACGGUCCUGCUGUCACUUAUAGAUGGAUCCGCGCUGCAUUAGCUAGUUGGUAAGGUAACGGCUUACCAAGGCAACGAUGCAUAGCCGACCUGAGAGGGUGAUCGGCCACACUGGAACUGAGACACGGUCCAGACUCCUACGGGAGGCAGCAGUAGGGAAUCUUCCGCAAUGGGCGAAAGCCUGACGGAUCAACGCCGCGUGAGUGAUGAAGGUCUUCGGAUCGUAAAACUCUGUUAUUAGGGAAGAACAUAUGUGUAAGUAACUGUGCACAUCUUGACGGUACCUAAUCAGAAAGCCACGGCUAACUACGUG
rnacentral:rRNA from 1 species